rnacentral:sRNA from 12 species
CAGCACUCCGCGUAGGAGUAUACUGGACUACACGCUCUGGUGCCAAGACGUAUGGUGACAUCGUUAUAAAAUCUUUUGCCUAGACUCGUUCUAGAGCAGAUAAGACAACCUCAACAGAAAUGAAGAGGUGGUG